rnacentral:tRNA from 1 species
GACCGCUUGGGGCAAUGGUAGUGCAUUCGACUGCAGAUCGUAAGGUUGGGCGUUCGAUCCGCUCAGUAGUCA